CUGCUUUCAUUUUCCCUUGGCUGAGGAAACGAUGGUUUGGUUUUGCAAAGGAAUGCUGGGGACUUCUGCCAGCUUGCUAACGGCCUUGCCCCAUUCAGAUGCAUCGAACUCACAGAACAUCGCUCCCCAGCUGCUGGCUCGCGGUUCUGAGAGUGCCUGAAUAGAAAACCACUCAUUUCCCUUCGCAAAAGAGGCGCCCAAAGCAGAUAUUUCAAUAUAUUCCAAUUUAGCCGAGGGAAGCCAGAACAUGGAUGUUGUUGCCAAGGAAACCACCUCCUUCCUCCUGUGUGCUGUGCAUACGUGUAUCACUUCAUCUCUCUGCUCUCCAAGGUUGAAUCUAGAUCUGACGUGGAUAUCCUGCCACAGUUCCGAAGUCUACCUAGUGCCCCAGCCGAACCUGCCCUGGCUCCUAGGUGGGGUAUGGACAUCUGUGACAUCCCUCCCCAACACCCCACCAAGCUGGGCUGCAAGACGGGUUAUGGUGGCCCCAUGACUUCCUUCCUUGGUAAGCCACAGGACUUCCUUGUUAACUGCUUUGCUGUUGGUCAUUGCAGAGAAAUAGGGAACAAUAAAAACAACCUGAGGUGUGGCAAAGGCUCUAGGACUGCAUCAUCUGCUGAAGCUCCAGUCCCUGCGCUGCAUCUCCUGAGUGGCAUCUGUGAUGGCAAACAAAGGCUCCUUGGGCUUCACGCUCUGCUUUCUUUCUAAGUGGUACUUACCACCCGCUGCAUCCCAGCCUUCUUCUGACCAGCUUCCUCUUCUGAUAGGCUUAUUUCCAUGAAGUUUUUCAGAGUUAGAAGCAUGAACUUUAGAACCAGAUGAUCCCGGUUGGAAUCCAUCUCUGGCACUUGCUAUAUGACCUUGGAUAAGUUACUUAACCUUUCUGUGUCUCAGUUUCUUUUUCUAUAAAAUGGGCAUAAUAAAAUCUAUCUAGCAUAGUUAUUGUAAGGAUUAAGUAAGUUAUUAUAUGCAGAGCUCUUGGUUCACAGUUAGUGCCAUUUAAGCCUUUCUGUCAUUCUUACUGUUACCAUUUUCCUGGCAUGUCAGUCUGAUGAUGCAGACGAGGCAGGAACUUUCGUCUCUGCCUCUCGUGGACUGCCCAAUCAGCUCCACGGAACUCAGCCAUGCCUGCAGUGCUGCAGGCCUCGCUUUGGACUGCUGGAGGCUGAGAAGUCAAUGGAUGUUGCUUGGGCAUUUUGGGGGGUUUCCUUAUGCAGGAGGAAGAUGACAAUCAUUGUGGAAGCAGAAGGUUGUCAUGGAAAUGCACCUGUUCCAAGUCAUUGCACCCUGGGCUCUGGGCUGGCUCUGCACGGGCCUGCCAUGCACUGACUUCAGCUUCAUCUGAGUCAGUGGAAGGCUGGACAAAGGUAGACAUCUUUCCUCACUGCCAGCCUGCCAUUGCGGCUUUCUGUCUCUGGUGUGAACAGGCAAUCGAGCUUUCCUGGUCUCCUGAGCUACUGUGAACGUGGCAGAAGAUAGUGGACUCUGAAUAACAUUGGAAACAACUACUUCCUGGACGGCCACUGUGUGCAUGGCCUGCGGGAGGGUGAGGGCAAGAGGACUGAUGGUUACUGGGAAUCUUCUUCAUGGCCAGGCUUCUGUGUGUCCUCUCACUUAAUCCUCCAACAGCACUGUGAGGAAAAUACAGCAUCCCACCUCACAGGCGAGGAAGCUUAAGUUGAAGGAAUGUUAAAUUGCCUGCUCUGAGCCUCACAGCCGGGAGGUGACAGCCCCAGGAUUGGCGGCCAGGGUUUGUCUGCCUUUAAAACUUAUGUCAUGUCCUUCUGUGUUAUCUCGGUCUGUACAGGCUGCUACAGCAAAAUACCAUAGCCUGGGUAGUUUAUGAACAACAGAAAUUUAUUUCUCAUAGUUCUGGAGCCUGGAAGUCCAAGAUCAAGGCUCUCGCAGGUUCAGUGUUCGGUGAGGACCCACUUCCUUAUUCAUAGACGUCCCCUUCUCACUGUGGCCUCACAGCAAGGGGUCAGGGUUCUCUCUGGGGCCUCUUUAAAUAGGGUCACCAAUCCCAUUCAUGAGGGCUGUACCCCCAUGACCUAAUCCCCUCCCAAAGGCCCCACUUCCCCAUACCAUCACCUUGGGGGUUAGGAUUCUAACAUGAAUUUUGGGGGGACACAGGCAUUCUGAUCAUAGCAUAUGUGUAGUUGCUCCUGGCCCGCUGGGGAAAUCACCGUCUCCAAGCAUGGCUCCCAUCUGGUUACCCUGGGUGGCCAAGGUCAGCAGAGGUGCUUUGCCAACUGAUUGGCACCCACACUACUUCUGUCCAGGUGGGCUGGGGCGAGGGUUGGGUCACAGUGGGACUCUGUGGGGCUCCGGGGACUGUCAGCUGCCCCGGGGCUGGAGGUCCUGCUGCUCUGUGCCCAUAGGCACCUCCUGGGAAUCUGGCGACUUGCAUCAGGGCCCGGAACUCACCCUGACAGUUCUUUCAGCUCUUGUCUUUUCCUCCCCUACCUACCUGCUCAUCUCGCUUUCACACACAAAGCCUCCCCUGCACUCCCCGCUCCCCUCCUCAAUCCCUUUCCCGGCUUUUGUACUUUAUGAUGCCGUGACUUGGGUGAGGAAACUCAUUAAAGUCAUUAUUCCGUGCACAGAAAUGUGUCUUUCAUCCCAUUCAUAUUUAAUGUUCCUCCCACUUGAUCUUUUGAUGCUUUUUAAUUCUUGAUAUUACAUGACAUACACACACAGUCCUUCCUCCUGUGACAAGGCAUCCUGAAGAAACCAAGGCCCAGGGACUUCAAGCAACCAUAAGCAACAGCCAAUAAGCAGAAGAGCCUCUUCUGCACUGACUUGUAUGGACUUCCAGCCUUGCUCAUUUUCCUUUUGCAGCCUCAACCUUAUCUAGAUUUUAAGAGACAGCCCUUUUUGUACUUCCUCCCACCCCGCACCCUCACCUCUUACUCUUAUUAAGUUUAAAGUGCAAAAAUGAUGCAAUUAAAACCUAUAUUGCCUCUCGACCGCUUAGUCUUGGGGGACCCUGGAGUGAGGAGAAUGAAUACCGCCCCUGCCCUUAUGGAACAGCAGUGGGGAGCGCCUGUGGAAUAGGGGAGUGAGAUGGAUUAUAGAAGUCUUGGGGGAAAUCCAAGAAGGUUCAAAGUGAGGGCCGUGUUCAGGCUAAAAUGCUUACUAUCUGGUCCUUUACAGAAAAAGUUUGCCAACUCCUGCUCUAGAUUGAUGGUUACAAAGUCUGACAGAGGAUACAGUUACAGGGACAUGGCAAAGCCAGAAAAACGAGGACCGGGAGUCCAGCUUUCAACAAAGCCAAUCUAUUCAAUCUCCAGACUACCCUUUGUACCAAGGAAGUCACGGGGUGACUCCAAGCAGGGCCCCCUUUGCAUUCAGCCUGCCCUUCUCUCAGCCCAGGUAAGUUAAGAGACUGGAGACACAGAGAGGCUCCAGAACUUACCCAAGGUCACACAGCUUCUAAAUGGGUGUUGUUGGAACCUACUUUCAGAGACCUGAUUCCAAAACCCUCACUGAUACUUUCCGUGAGUCCAGAUGAAGAGAGGGCUUCAAGGAAAAUCCAUUCAGUGCCAGGAUGCUACCAGCUCCCUGGGGCAUGGGACUGCCAUCCUCUCCUAGGCGUCUGUCCUGAUACUUCCAAUGUAAGUGUGGAAAAACUCAAGUUUCAUAAGUUUUGCUCAUGUGCUCUGCCUUGGAGAGGGUGGGAAGUAGAACAGACACUGGCCUCAUGUUUUGCUGUUGGUUACCUCUCAGGCAUGUGAUCCUUGUACCGGAGGUUUCACAUCACGUAGCCCCUGCACAGCUGAUCUGUGAAUGGGAAAUUGGGUUGGGCCAUCACCAGGUCCCCUUCCAGUUAAAUAUUUGUCCCAAGUCCCAGAUGAUUUGAUAUGAGAGCCCCAUGCCUAAUGCUGUUUGUGGAUUCAUUGAAUCAAUUAUUGUUUCGUUCAUUCAAUUCAUUCAACAAAUAGCUUCUCUGUGUCUACUACUAUUUGCACUCAAUUCUCAGAGAAGUAAAUGUCUAAAGUACCCACUUAAUAACUUAAAAGCUGAUUUUACCAAUUUCAUUUCACUGUAAGGCCUCCCAAAGGAUUAACAUGUUAGUGUGCACCCCCUCUCGCACCAGCAUGCUGGCACCAGAUGAGCUGCUGCAGACUCAUGAGGAAAGAGUCAAGACAGGCUCUUUGAAACCUCCCUCUCCAGGCAUGCCACGUGAACAGAAGUUCCAGGAGACAGAAGAGAGGGGUGACAAGAAAUUGCCCUGAUCAAACUGCCACAGUGACACACCAUGAAAAACACACAGAGAUUGGCUCUGUGGCAAUGGCAUCAUACCCAGGUCACAGGUGCAAAUUUGGUGCAGCAAAGCAGCAUUAAAUAUUUUGCAUUAAAUUGAUGUUAAUUUGCU
rnacentral:lncRNA from 1 species